rnacentral:misc_RNA from 1 species
GAUGAAGAACGUAGCGAAAUGCGAUAGGUAAUGUGAAUUGCAGAAUUCAGUGAAUCAUCGAAUCUUUGAACGCACAUUGCGCCCGCCAGCAUUCUGGCGGGCAUGCCUGUUCGAGCGUCAUUUCAACCCUCGAGCCCCCCCGGGGGCCUCGGUGUUGGGGGACGGCACACCAGCCGCCCCCGAAAUGCAGUGGCGACCCCGCCGCAGCCUCCCCUGCGUAGUAGCACACACCUCGCACCGGAGCGCGGAGGCGGUCACGCCGUAAAACGCCCAACUUUCUUAGAGUUGACCUCGGAUCAGGUAGGAAUACCCGCUGAACUUAAGCAUAUCAAUAAGCGGAGGA